AUUGAACGCUGGCGGCAGGCCUAACACAUGCAAGUCGAACGGGAGGAGGACGGGUGAGCAAGGUCUGGGAAAGUGCCUGAUGGAGGGGGAUGAGGACGGGAAACGGUGGCUAAUAGCGCAUACAGCCAGAUGGGCCGAGGUGGGAUUAGCUAGUUGGUGGGGUAACGGCUCACCAAGGCGACGAUCCCUAGCUGGUCUGAGAGGCUGACCAGCCACACUGGAACUGAGACACGGUCCAGACUCCUACGGGAGGCAGCAGUGGGGAAUAUUGGACAAUGGGCGCAAGCCUGAUGCAGCCAUGCCGCGUGUAUGAAGAAGGCCUUCGGAUUGUAAAGUACUUUCAGCGGGGAGGCGUUACCCACAGAAGAAGCACCGGCUAACUCCGUGCCAGCAGCCGCGGUAAUUC
rnacentral:rRNA from 1 species